GAGAGUAUAGCUUAGUGGUAGAGCACCUAUUCAGCCUGCACAAGGUCCUGGGUUCAAUCCCCAGUACCUCCA
rnacentral:tRNA from 1 species